GGAAGGAUGUCUCAGCUCAAGACAGAGUUCAGUUGUAAAGAGCAGCUCUUCAAAAAGCCUGCAGAAGGAACCUGAGGGCCUUCUCAAAUUGUAUAAGCUUCAAGCUCUAUAAAACCUGGAUCUACUCCUAUUUGAUGGUUAAGUCAAAGUUCAGAUUAAAAGAUGUAUACUCCACAUUUCUCACAUUGAAGCAAGAUCUAUAACUCAUUUGUGCUGCUGAUUAAUAAAUUGAUGGUAUAGUUGAAUUGGAUCAUUCAAGGGUCUUCCCAGGAACAGCCUGUAAGACUUCAAAUAAAGGAUCAUGCUGACACUGGCCUAAGGUGGGAAGCUCUCACAGAAAAUGCCUGGCUUAAAGUACCGCGGCUCCAUGGGACAAGACUUAUGCCCUGCUGAAAAGGCCAAGCAGGACUCAAGUCUGCCUUGAAGAUGACGGUAGAGGAGUAAACAAAUGCUUGAAUAGUUGGAAUGCAAAUACCAAUUAUUAUCCAGAAAUGGGCAUUCAGUUGAUUUUGAAGGAACCUGAACUUUUGACUUGGAUUAUUCAGUUAUUCAAAACUACAUUUCUCUACUUGUUCACACUGAGCUUCAAGCAAUUCAUCAAUUACAGUUCAGAUUGUCCUCCUCUGGCCCUGGUUCCCGUGGAGGUUUCACCUUACGGAUUUCUGCCCUGUCACAUAUGUCACUGAGCAGGAGCAUGGAUUUAGGAGCUAGUUCUGUCACUAACUUUUAUGCUUAAG